rnacentral:rRNA from 1 species
GAAGAUGAGCUCGCGUCCGAUUAGGUAGUAGGCGGGGUAACGGCCCACCUAGCCUGCGAUGGAUAGGGGUUCUGAGAGGGAGGUCCCCCACAUUGGAACUGAGACACGGUCCAAACUCCUACGGGAGGCAGCAGUGAGGAAUAUUGGUCAAUGGGCGAGAGCCUGAACCAGCCAAGUAGCGUGAAGGAUGAAGGUCCUACGGAUUGUAAACUUCUUUAUAAGGGAAUAAAACGCUCCACGUGUGGAGCCUUGUAUGUACCUUAUGAAUAAGCAUCGGCU